UUACGAACAUAUCACGUUGAAACACCAGUUCUCGUACGAUCGCGGAAGUCAAGCAACGUCGAGCUUGGUCAGUACCUAGAUGGGUGACCGCUUGGGAAUAGCAGGUGCUC